rnacentral:rRNA from 1 species
AGAGUUUGACUCCGUGGCUCGAGACGACGCUGGCGGCGUGCUUAACACAUGCAAGUCGAACGAUGAAGCCUAGCUUGCUAGGUGGAUUAGUGGCGAACGGGUGAGUAAUACGUGAGUAACCUACCUUUAACUCUGGGAUAAGCCUGGGAAACUGGGUCUAAUACCGGAUACGACCAAUCUCCGCAUGGGGUGUUGGUGGAAAGCGUUAUGUAGUGGUUAUAGAUGGGCUCACGGCCUAUCAGCUUGUUGGUGAGGUAACGGCUCACCAAGGCGACGACGGGUAGCCGGCCUGAGAGGGUGACCGGCCACACUGGGACUGAGACACGGCCCAGACCCCUACGGGAGGCAGCAGUGGGGAAUAUUGCACAAUGGGCGCAAGCCUGAUGCAGCGACGCCGCGUGAGGGAUGACGGCCUUCGGGUUGUAAACCUCUGUUAGCAGGGAAGAAGAGAGAUUGACGGUACCUGCAGAGAAAGCGCCGGCUAACUACGUG